rnacentral:rRNA from 1 species
AGAACGAACGCUGGCGGCAUGCCUAAUACAUGCAAGUCGAACGAACACUUCGGUGUUAGUGGCGCACGGGUGCGUAACGCGUGGGAAUCUGCCCUUGGGUUCGGAAUAACAGUUGGAAACGACUGCUAAUACCGGAUGAUAUCGAAAGAUCAAAGAUUUAUCGCCCAGGGAUGAGCCCGCGUAGGAUUAGCUAGUUGGUGAGGUAAAGGCUCACCAAGGCGACGAUCCUUAGCUGGUCUGAGAGGAUGAUCAGCCACACUGGGACUGAGACACGGCCCAGACUCCUACGGGAGGCAGCAGUAGGGAAUAUGGACAAUGGGCGCAAGCCUGAUCCAGCAAUGCCGCGUGAGUGAUGAAGGCCUUAGGGUUGUAAAGCUCUUUACCCGAGAUGAUAAUGACAGUAUCGGAGAAUAAGCCCCGGACUAACUCCGCGCCAGCAGCCGAC